UACAGAGGGUGCGAGCGUUAAUCGGAAUUACUGGGCGUAAAGCGUGCGUAGACGGUUAUUUAAGUCGGGUGUGAAAGCCCCGGGCUCAACCUGGGAAUUGCAUUCGAGACUGAAUAGCUAGGGUACGGUAGAGGGAAGCGGAAUUUCCGGUGUAGCGGUGAAAUGCGUAGAUAUCGGAGGAACAUCAGUGGCGAAAGCGGCUCCUGGACCAGUACCGACGUUCA
rnacentral:rRNA from 1 species